UGUGAACACUACCUAACUCAAAAGUAUGUCACUUUACAGGAGCUAUAGCCUCCUAGACUCUGUUGUGAACUGAGGGUGUCGUUACGAGACUGAACUAUAGUUUCCAUCACUAGAAAAUGCCUCUGAGGAAAAGACCGUCAGCGCCCCGCCCCUCCCUGCUUGAUGGUUGGCCCCUCCAAUUUAUGACCUCUCCGCCACUUACUUUCUGGGAAGGAGCUUCAGAGAAUCCAGACCAUAAUCCAGCUUUAUGUUGACCACAGAUGGAGUAGAAAACAACAGAGGAGUGGAGAUGGUGUAGCAAAGGUGAGUGAUUUUCACUCCUGUUGUGUCUGUGAUGUAAUCAGACAAGUGGAGCUGUUAUGUGGUCCCGAUUAUGCAAUUACAAACACACACGCAUACACGUCGAAGCACACACAACUUUUUACCCUUUCAUUACACCCACUCUUCCAAACAUAUUCCUUUGACACACAUCCUCCUUUCAGCAUCUGCAGACGAUGAUACAUGUGGUGUUUUGAGAGGUUAGUGUGCGUGAUGGUGGAUGUAAGUCACAGUGGGAUCCUUCUUCCACUACAUCACAGAACAACACUCUGUCGAGCAGGCCAUCCAUCACUACAGCUGUGGUUUAUGUACACACAGCAGGUCAUGCUGGUCCUCUGUCCAGACCCGAUGCAGAGCUCUUGAUUAUCCAUUCGCAUUAAGAG